rnacentral:rRNA from 1 species
GACGAAGGGGGCUAGCGUUGUUCGGAAUUACUGGGCGUAAAGGGCUCGUAGGUGGCCAACUAAGUCAGACGUGAAAUCCCUCAGCUUAACUGGGGAACUGCGUCUGAUACUGGAUGGCUUGAGUUUGGAAGAGGGUCGCGGAAUUCCCGGUGUAGAGGUGAAAUUCGUAGAUAUCGGGAGGAACACCAGUGGCGAAGGCGGCGACCUGGGCCAAUAUUGACGCUGAGGUGCGAAAGCGUGGGGAGCAAACAGG